GACGAAGGAUGCAAGCGUUAUCCGGAUUCAUUGGGUUUAAAGGGAGCGUAGGCGGCCUUAUACGUCAGUGGUGAAAUCUUUGGGCUUAACCCAAAAAUUGCCAUUGAUACUGUAGGGCUUGAGUACAGUUGCUGUGGGCGGAAUAUGACAUGUAGUGGUGAAAUACAUAGAGAUGUCAUAGAACACCGAUUGCGAAGGCAGCUCACAAAACUGUAACUGACGCUGAGGCUCGAAAGUGCGGGGAUCAAACAGG
rnacentral:rRNA from 1 species